rnacentral:lncRNA from 11 species
GCUCUGGCCUUCUUCCAGCUCCUCUCCAGAAGGCAAGGGAAACUGUUCUAUCAGAGUUUCUCCUUCCAAGAUAUCAAAUCUAUUAGAAGUAGAAAUGAGGUGACUCUGGAUCACGGGCACACAUAAGAGCUUCCAUUUAUCAUCCUCAAUCUGUAAUAUGUGGA